rnacentral:lncRNA from 1 species
GUGGAAGUCAGCAUUAAGCCAACGAACCACCUAUGUACAAAGAAGCUGCUCAGGGCCAGGAGGAAAGAAGAGCUUCAGGAAGGAUGAGGAAAAGAAAAAGCUUUGUAUUUCAAGAGAAGCUGCUGUUUUAAGACACUCAGAGGGAAAGAGAGGCCAAAGUCGAGAUGAAGGUAGGAGACAGUCCUGGGCCAGAAGGGACUACUGCUCUUCCUAGCACUUUACUAAAGGUAAGAAAGUGGAAGGCAUUGUAGUUUUGUUGUUGGUUCUUUGCUUGUUUGUUUGUUAUUUGCAUCGUGUUUACAGUCCUGGGGAGUCAUCCAAACUCUCUGUUCAUUUUUCUUCAACCUUCU